rnacentral:rRNA from 1 species
GAUGAACGCUAGCGGGAGGCCUAACACAUGCAAGCCGAGCGGUAUUUGUCUUUCGGGACAGAGAGAGCGGCGUACGGGUGCGGAACACGUGUGCAACCUGCCUUUAUCAGGGGGAUAGCCUUUCGAAAGGAAGAUUAAUACCCCAUAAUAUAAUGAAUGGCAUCAUUUAUUAUUGAAAACUCCGGUGGAUAGAGAUGGGCACGCGCAAGAUUAGAUAGUUGGUAGGGUAACGGCCUACCAAGUCAGUGAUCUUUAGGGGGCCUGAGAGGGUGAUCCCCCACACUGGUACUGAGACACGGACCAGACUCCUACGGGAGGCAGCAGUGAGGAAUAUUGGACAAUGGGUGAGAGCCUGAUCCAGCCAUCCCGCGUGAAGGACGACGGCCCUAUGGGUUGUAAACUUCUUUUGUACAGGGAUAAACCUACUCUCGUGAGAGUAGCUGAAGGUACUGUACGAAUAAGCACCGGCUAACUCCGUGCCAGCAGCCGCAGUAAAAC